rnacentral:rRNA from 1 species
UGCCAGCAGCCGCGGUAAUACGGAGGGUGCAAGCGUUACUCGGAAUCACUGGGCGUAAAGGGCGCGUAGGCGGAUAAUCAAGUCUCUUGUGAAAUCCAAUGGCUUAACCAUUGAACUGCUUGGGAAACUGAUUAUCUAGAGUAAGGGAGAGGUAGAUGGAAUUCUUGGUGUAGGGGUAAAAUCCGUAGAGAUCAAGAAGAAUACCCAUUGCGAAGGCGAUCUGCUAGAACUUAACUGACGCUAAUGCGCGAAAGCGUGGGGAGCAAACAGGAUUAGAUA